GCAUUCGUGGUUCAGUGGUAGAAUUGGUCGUUGCCAUCGACUAGACUCGGGGUAUGUUGUCUUCACUCAAUAUCAUCUAGCCAUAAUAUUAACGUAUCAUCCAGUUCGAUUCCCGACGAAUGCA